rnacentral:lncRNA from 1 species
UUUAUGUAGAAAUACACUUUAAUGAAUUAUGCUUAGAGUAAUACACUCUGCAGAAUUUUUUGCAAUUAUAAUUUCUCUUAUUAAUUUUUGAUAUGGUUCAGAAAUAUUUUCCAAUCCCACUGCCCCUCAGUCAAGGAAGGCAUGUUGGAUGGAAAAUAAAUGGUGAAAUUUGCAAGCAAAUGCAAAACAUAGAGAUCUGGCAAAGAUCUGUAACACAACAGCAAAUAUUUUGUGUUUCUUUCAAUAGAACACAUUGACAAAUUUAAGAAGAGGCAUCUAGGUUUGACAUAAACCUAAUGUUUCCCAACUUACCUUCAUUGGUAGCUUCAAACACAGUUGGACCUUGCUCUGAUUUUGCAUGGUAGAAGAGAAAGGAUGCAACCAUGUCUGACCAUGUCAGAUAAAGAAUCAAUAGCUGUUCACUUCUGUAAGCUACCUCAAUCUUCAGCAGCCACCAACCUAAUCAGCCAGCAGCCAGCAAUAUUGAGGCAAGAUACCCUACCAGCAAAAAGAUUAUGGUUUGCUGAAGGCUCAGAUGAUUGUUAGAGUUUUUAUUGCUAGUCUUUAAUUAGGGUAUGUACAUUUUUUUAGACAUAAUACUGUUGCACACUUGAGACUAUAGUAUAGUGUAAACAUAACUUUUAUAUGCAGGAGAAAAUCCAAAAAAAUGUGUAACUUGCUUUAAUGCCAUAUUUGCUUUAUUGAGAUGAUCUGGAACUAAACCAGCAAUAUCACUGAGAUUUUCUUCUACUAUUAUUAAAAUAUUAACAAAAUAUUACAAAAUAUGUAAAUAAUAUUUUAUAUAAUGUCAGAUAAGAUUGCUCUGUUUUAGCAUAUCAGAGUAACUAGUCCCAAGCUAUCAUAGGUUAUUGAAUCUAAGGAUAAUAAUCCUGGCCUUCAUGAGUUCUAAUCCAAACACUAAAUAUAAUACCUCACAUGAGUACUAACAGUAACCUUAGUAUGUUUAAGUUAAACUGACACUUGUAAUUUAUCAACCACUGUUAUAUUUUUCUUGUUUUUUUAUUUUUU